AAUAGAUACCCGGUAGUCCACGCCGUAAACGAUGAGUGCUAAGUGUUAGGGGUUUCCGCCCCUUAGUGCUGCAGCUAACGCAUUAAGCACUCCGCCUGGGGAGUACGGUCGCAAGACUGAAACUCAAAGGAAUUGACGGGGGCCCGCACAAGCGGUGGAGCAUGUGGUUUAAUUCGAAGCAACGCGAAGAACCUUACCAGGUCUUGACAUCCCAUUGACCACUAUGGAGACAUAGUUUUCCCUUCGGGGACAACGGUGACAGGUGGUGCAUGGUUGUCGUCAGCUCGUGUCGUGAGAUGUUGGGUUAAGUCCCGCAACGAGCGCAACCCUUGUUCUUAGUUGCCAUCAUUUAGUUGGGCACUCUAAGGAGACUGCCGGUGACAAACCGGAGGAAGGUGGGGAUGACGUCAAAUCAUCAUGCCCCUUAUGACCUGGGCUACACACGUGCUACAAUGGACGGUACAAACGGUUGCCAACCCGCGAGGGGAGCUAAUCCGAUAAAACCGUUCUCAGCUCGGAUUGUAGGCUGCAACUCGCCUACA
rnacentral:rRNA from 1 species